AGGGUACACAGUGGAUGCCUAGGCAUCUCGUGCCGAAGAAGGACGUGUUAUACUGCGAAAAGCUUCGAUGAGGCGUAUAAAGCCGUAAGAGUCGAAGGUAUCCGAAUGGGGAAACCUGGUGGGGUUCAAGCCCUGCCAUCCUUGCUUUGUGCGAGGAGGGGAACCGUCCGAACUGAAACAUCUAAGUAGGGCGAGGAAAAGAGACGAUUCUGCGAGUAGUGGCGAGCGAAAGCGGAUUAGCCCAAACCAGUUGUUACGACAGCUGGGGUUGUAGGACUUCGAGGAGCUGCGGUAGUUGAAGUUGAAGGAUCUGGGAAGGUCAGCCAAAGAGGGUGAGAGUCCCGUAGACGCAGAUGAGAGCAGCGCGGAGGAUCCUGAGUACCACGAUACACGCUAACAUUGUGGGAAGCUGGUUGGUCCACCAACCAAGGCUAAAUACACGAGAUGACCGAUAGCGCAGCAGUACCGUGAGGGAAAGGUGAAAAGAACCCCGGCGAGGGGAGUGAAAGAGAAUCUGAAAUUGUGUACUUACAACCGGUCGGGGGGCAUGAUAUGAUCAUGUCUGACGGCGUGCCUUUAGGAGAAUGAGCCAGCGAGUUAAUGUGAGUGGCGAGCUUAAGGCGGAGACAGCCGUAGGCGCAGGGAAACCGAGUCUGAAUAGGGCGAAUGAGUGGCUUACAUUAGACACGAAACCAGGCGAGCUAACCAUGGCCAGCGCGAAAGUGAGGUAACACUUACGGGAGGCGCGAACCCACCGAUGUUACAAAAUCGGGGGAUGAGUUGUGGUUAGAGGUGAAAUGCCAAACGAGCUUGGAGAUAGCUUGUUCUCCCCGAAAUAGCUUUAGGGCUAGCGUUGUGUGAUGGGUGCAGGAGGUAGAGCACUGUAUGGGCUAGGGGGCGUCAAGCUUACUGAACCCAAACAAACUCCGAAUGCUUGCAUACCGAGCACAGCAGUUGGGCUGCUUGAGAUGAGUUAAGCAGUCGAGAGGGAAAGAACCCAGACCCUCGUCUAAGGUCCCGGAGUGUAUGCUAAGUGGAAAACGAGGUGAUUGUGUUGAGACAGCUAGUAGGUUGGCUUAGAAGCAGCCAUCCUUUAAAGAGUGCGUAACAGCUCCCUAGUCAAACGCAAUUGCGCGGAUAAUGUAACGGGUCUAAAGCAUACCACCGAAGGCAGGGAUAACGGAAGUUAUGGUAGGGGAGCGUUCCAUUUGCGGAGAAGGUACAUUGUGAGGUGUAUUGGAGCGGAUGGGAGUGCGAAUGCUGGCAUGAGUAGCGAGAAAUAGGUGAGAACCCUAUUCGCCGGACGUCUAAGGUUUCCGACGGAAGGUCAGUCCGCGUCGGGUUAGUCGGUCCUAAGCCGAGGCUGAGAAGCGCAGGCGAUGGACAACGGGUUAAUAUUCCCGUACCGGUAUGUGGAGUUGCGAGCGUAGCUUGUGGGAUAGCCAGCCUCUGAGUGGAUUGAGGUGGCAAGCGGGGAGAGCCCGCGAAGCCGUGCCUUCGGGCAAGAAGUGGUUGUAGCCAUGGGACGAGAAAAGCGUUUGUAGAUGAAGAAGCAUGCCGACCGUACCGCAAACCGACACAGGUAGACGAGUAGAGAAUACGAAGGCGAACGGGAGAACCUCUGCUAAGGAAUUAGGCAAAAUGGAUCCGUAACUUCGGGAGAAGGAUCGCCUGGCUGUGGUGGUCAGGUUGCAGUGAAAAGGCUCUGCCGACUGUUUACCAAAAACACAGGUCUCUGCGAAAGCGCAAGCUGAAGUAUAGGGGCUGACGCCUGCCCAGUGCCGGAAGGUUAAGUGGAGGAGUGAGAGCUCUGAGAUGAAGCCCCGGUGAACGGCGGCCGUAACUAUAACGGUCCUAAGGUAGCGAAAUUCCUUGUCGGGUAAGUUCCGACCCGCACGAAAGGCGUAACGAGUGGAGCACUGUCUCAGCAGGGGACUCGGCGAAAUUGAAGUAUGCGUAAAAAUGCGUAUUACCCGCAGCAGGACAAAAAGACCCCGUGGAGCUUUACUGUAGCUUGCCAUUGCGUUAGGGCUUUGAUUGUGCAGGAUAGCUGGGAGGCUGUGAAGCUUGGUCGUCAGAUUGAGUGGAGCCAAUGUUGAGAUACCAGCCUGUUAGGGUUUUGGCUCUAACCUAGGCGUGUGAGCGUCAGGGACAGUGGCAGGUGGGCAGUUUGACUGGGGCGGUCGCCUCCGAAAGAGUAACGGAGGCGCCCAAAGGUUGGCUCAGAUGGAAUGGAAACCCAUCGCAGAGUGUAAAGGCAGAAGCCAGCUUGACUGCGAGACAGACAAGUCGAGCAGAGACGAAAGUCGGGCUUAGUGAUCCUACGAUACAGAGUGGAAUGGUCGUAGCUUACCGGAUAAAAGCUACCCCGGGGAUAACAGGCUAGUCUUGCCCAAGAGUUCAAAUCGACGGCAAGGCUCGGCACCUCGAUGUCGGCUCAUCGCAUCCUGGGGCUGGAUAGGGUCCCAAGGGUUGGGCUGUUCGCCCAUUAAAGCGGUACGUGAGCUGGGUUCAGACCGUCGUGAGACAGGUCGGUCUCUAUCCGCUGUGGGCGUUGGGAAUUUGAGAGGGUUUGCCCCUAGUACGAGAGGACCGGGGUGGACGAAGCGCUCGUGUGUCAGUUGUCGCGCCGGCGGCAUAGCUGAGUAGCGACCUUCGGAUUGGAUAACCGCUGAAAGCAUCUAAGUGGGAAGCCAGCCUCAAGACAAGAUUCCCCACUGGCAAGACCAGGUAAGACCGCUGGGAGACCACCAGUUAGAUAGGCGGGAGGUGUAAGCGCAGCAAUGCGUGCAGCUGACCCGUACUAAUGGUCGAGGGCUUUCCGU
rnacentral:rRNA from 1 species